CCUACGGGAGGCAGCAGUGAGGAAUAUUGGUCAAUGGACGAGAGUCUGAACCAGCCAAGUAGCGUGAAGGAUGACUGCCCUAUGGGUUGUAAACUUCUUUUAUAAAGGAAUAAAACGAGGCACGUGUGCCUUUUUGCAUGUACUUUAUGAAUACGGAUCGGCUAACUCCGUGCCAGCAGCCGCGGUAAUACGGAGGAUCCGAGCGUUAUCCGGAUUUAUUGGGUUUAACGGGAGCGUAGAUGGGUUGUUAAGUCAGUUGUGAAAGUUUGCGGCUCAACCGUAAAAUUGCAAUUGAUACUGGCAGUCUUGAGUACAGUUGAGGUAGGCGGAAUUCGUGGUGUAGCGGUGAAAUGCUUAGAUAUCACGAAGAACCCCGAUUGCGAAGGCAGCUUACUAAACUGUGACUGACAUUGAUGCUCGAAAGUGUGGGUAGCAAACAGGAUUAGAUACCCGAGUAGUC
rnacentral:rRNA from 1 species